AUGUGAGUCGUAUCUGACGUAGAUGUACCGGCUAGCUACGUCAGCAGCGCGUAUACGUAGUGCAGGAUAUCAGACUAUAGUCGUUAAGAGCUCGUAGCGGUUUGUCGCGUCUGUCGUGAAGUCAGGGCUAUCCCGGAUCUGCCGUGGUACGGGCAGACUAAGAGUGCAGUAAGGGAGACUUGAAUUCUGUGUUAGCGGUGGAUUGCGCAGAUAUUCAAGGAGGACACCGAUUGGCGAAGGCCAGGUUCUUCUGGGCUUGUUAACCUGACGCUGAGGAAGCGAAAAGCAUUGGGGGAGCGACCAGGGAUUUAGAUUACCCUUGGUAGUUCCAUGCCGUUAAACGUUUGGGCACUAAGGUGUUGGGGACCCAUUUCCACGGUUUUCCGGCGCCGCCAGCUAAACGGCAUUUAAGUUGCCCCCGCCUUGGGGGAGGUACCGGCCCGCCAAGGGCUAAAAACUCCAAAAGGAAAUGGACGGGGGGCCCCGCCACCAAGGCGGGCGGGAGGCAUGCCGGAUUUAAUUUCGAUGCCAACGCGAAGAAACCCUUACCCAAGGCUUGACAUGUUCUCGAUCGCCCGUAGAGAAUAACGGGUUUCCCCCUUGGGGGCGGGUUCACAGGUGGUGGCAUGGUUUGUCGUCAGCUCGUGUCGUGAGAUGUUGGGGUUAAGUCCCCGCAACGAGCGCAACCCUCGUUUCCAUGUUGCCAGCACGUCGUGGUGGGGACUCAUGGGAGACUGCCGGGGUCAACUCGGAGGAAGGUGAGGACGACGUCAAAUCAUCAUGCCCCUUAUGUCUUGGGCUUCACGCAUGCUACAAUGGCCGGUACAAUGGGUUGCGAUACUGUGAGGUGGAGCUAAUCCCAAAAAGCCGGUCUCAGUUCGGAUUGGGGUCUGCAACUCGACCCCAUGAAGUCGGAGUCGCUAGUAAUCGCAGAUCAGCAACGCUGCGGUGAAUACGUUCCCGGGCCUUGUACACACCGCCCGUCAAGUCACGAAAGUUGGUAACACCCGAAGCCGGUGGCCUAACCCUUGUGGGGGAGCCGUCGAAGGUGACCAGCCGUCGC
rnacentral:rRNA from 1 species